AGCCAACUGAAUCCAUGCUGAGGUUUCGUCAGACACAAGACCACCGAUGCUGAUGAGACUCCGAAGAUAAGUGAAGCG
rfam:Schistosoma mansoni strain Puerto Rico chromosome W, complete genome